UGUCCUACGGGGGGCAGCAGUGAGGAAUAUUGGUCAAUGGGCGGGAGCCUGAACCAGCCAAGUCGCGUGAGGGAAGACGGUCCUAUGGAUUGUAAACCUCUUUUGCCGGGGAGCAACGGGCGCCACGUGUGGCGCCACUGAGAGUACCCGGAGAAAAAGCAUCGGCUAACUCCGUGCCAGCAGCCGCGGUAAUACGGAGGAUGCGAGCGUUAUCCGGAUUUAUUGGGUUUAAAGGGUGCGUAGGCGGAUCGUUAAGUCAGUGGUCAAAUUGAGGGGCUCAACCCCUUCCCGCCAUUGAAACUGGG
rnacentral:rRNA from 1 species